rnacentral:rRNA from 1 species
AUUGAACGCUGGCUGCAGGCCUAACACAUGCAAGUCGAACGAGUGGCGGACGGGUGAGUAAUGUCUGGGAAACUGCCUGAUGGAGGGGGAUAACUACUGGAAACGGUAGCUAAUACCGCAUACCAUCAGAUGUGCCCCGAUGGGAUUAGCUUGUUGGGGGGGUAACGGCUCCCCAAGGCGACGAUCCCUAGCUGGUCUGAGAGGAUGACCAGCGACACGGGAACGUAGACACGGUCAAGACUCCGAAGGGAGGCAGCAGGGGGGAAUAUGGCACAAUGGGGGCAAGCCUGAUGCAGACAUGCCGCGUGUAUGAAGAAGGCCUGCGGGUUGUAAAGUACUUUCAGCGGGGAGGCGUUACCCGCAGAAGAAGCACCGGCUAACUCCGUGCCAGCAGCCGCGGUAAUAC